rnacentral:rRNA from 1 species
AUUGAACGCUGGCGGCAUGCCUUACACAUGCAAGUCGAACGGUAACAGGUCUUCGGACGCUGACGAGUGGCGAACGGGUGAAUAAUACAUCGGAACGUGCCCAGUCGUGGGGGAUAACUACUCGAAAGAGUAGCUAAUACCGCAUACGAUCUGAGGAUGAAAGCGGGGGACCUUCGGGCCUCGCGCGAUUGGAGCGGCCGAUGGCAGAUUAGGUAGUUGGUGGGAUAAAAGCUUACCAAGCCGACGAUCUGUAGCUGGUCUGAGAGGACGACCAGCCACACUGGGACUGAGACACGGCCCAGACUCCUACGGGAGGCAGCAGUGGGGAAUUUUGGACAAUGGGCGAAAGCCUGAUCCAGCAAUGCCGCGUGCAGGAUGAAGGCCUUCGGGUUGUAAACUGCUUUUGUACGGAACGAAAAAGCUCCUUCUAAUACAGGGGGCCCAUGACGGUACCGUAAGAAUAAGCACCGGCUAACUACGUGCCAGCCGCCGUAAAAC